CGGACGGGUGAGUAACACGUGGGUAACCUACCUAUAAGACUGGAAUAACUCCGGGAAACCGGGGCUAAUGCCGGAUAACAUUUAGAACCGCAUGGUUCUAAAGUGAAAGAUGGUUUUGCUAUCACUUAUAGAUGGACCCGCGCCGUAUUAGCUAGUUGGUAAGGUAACGGCUUACCAAGGCAACGAUACGUAGCCGACCUGAGAGGGUGAUCGGCCACACUGGAACUGAGACACGGUCCAGACUCCUACGGGAGGCAGCAGUAGGGAAUCUUCCGCAAUGGGCGAAAGCCUGACGGAGCAACGCCGCGUGAGUGAUGAAGGUCUUCGGAUCGUAAAACUCUGUUAUUAGGGAAGAACAAAUGUGUAAGUAACUAUGCACGUCUUGACGGUACCUAAUCAGAAAGCCACGGCUAACUACGUGCCAGCAGCCGCGGUAAUACGUAGGUGGCAAGCGUUAUCCGGAAUUAUUGGGCGUAAAGCGCGCGUAGGCGGUUUCUUAAGUCUGAUGUGAAAGC
rnacentral:rRNA from 1 species